AUACUUUCCUGGCAGGGGAGACACCAGGAUCAUGAAGGUGGUUUUCCCAAGAUGAGGCUUAUCCUUUGCACUUCAGCUGUGCUGACUUGGUGAUUUCCCCAAGUGUGGGAAACUCGACUGCAUAAUUUGUGAUAGUGAGAGACUGCAUUUGCACCUUCCCU
rnacentral:snRNA from 1 species